UUGCGAGGCGACGAUGGCAGGCUCGUGCUCCAAGGCAAAAAGACGCAGAGGGGGCGCGUUGUACAGGGUCGUCGUCUGGAGGCGACGAGACGCGGAUCCGACUGUGGCACGCGGGAAGAAUCCAAGAUAGGCGCCAAAUCCAUUCCUCCGCGGGCGGUGAGGCAGUCAGGCAGCACGCUGGGCGGAUCUGGCCGGCGGGUGGCAAGAUGGUGUGCCGAGCGGAUCCGGCCGGCGGGGAGGUGCCAGCGACAGAAGCUUCUCCGCCGGGCUGUAGUCCCAGUCGUCCGCAUCGCGCGCUACCUCAAGAUGGGCAAGUAUGUCGAGCACAUCGGCGGAGGUGCACCUUGCUACCUCUCCGUCGUCCUUGAGUACCUCGCCGUGGAGGUAAAUGGCUCUGCAACACAUGGGGGAUUGUGGGCAUAACUUUACUGUUACAUAUGCAGAUGCCGGCAUGCUGUUGCUUGACAACUUUUGGCAGUCAAAAAACAUGGUUGUUUAGUUAAUUGGAACAUGCAUGCCAUAGCGAGAUGCAUGGCCGUGUUUUUUUUCCUGAAAAGUUCAGUGAUACAAGUGGCAUAAGGAGACUUAAUUUUGCACUAUGAACUGCCUGUGUACUGAAGUGUUUGUUCUGUUCUUUAGCGCGAAUUAAAAAUGAAUCUUCUAUCUCUA